CACGUAGGCACCAAGCGUUGUCCGGAUUUAUUGGGCGUAAAGAGCGUGUAGGCGGUCAGGUAGGUCGGUUGUGAAAACUGGAGGCUCAACCUUCAGAGGUCGACCGAAACCCCCUGGCUAGAGUCCGGGAGAGGAGAGUGGAAUUCCUGGUGUAGCGGUGAAAUGCGCAGAUAUCAGGAAGAACACCCGUGGCGAAAGCGGCUCUCUGGAACGGUACUGACGCUGAGACGCGAAAGCGUGGGGAGCGAACAGG
rnacentral:rRNA from 1 species